UACGUAGGGUGCAAGCGUUUAUCGGAAUUACUGGGCGUAAAGCGUGCGCAGGCGGUUUUGUAAGUCUGACGUGAAAUCCCCGGGCUCAACCUGGGAAUUGCGUUGGAGACUGCAAGGCUAGAAUCUGGCAGAGGGGGGUAGAAUUCCACGUGUAGCAGUGAAAUGCGUAGAGAUGUGGAGGAACACCGAUGGCGAAGGCAGCCCCCUGGGUCAAGAUUGACGCUCAUGCACGAAAGCGUGGGGAGCAAACAGG
rnacentral:rRNA from 1 species